AGGAGCCGGAUGCGGGAAAUCCGCACGUCCGGAUCUGUGCGGGGGGCGGGCCGAAAGGCCCGUCCCUACCGCGAC
rnacentral:ncRNA from 1 species